rnacentral:rRNA from 1 species
UAUAAGGGGGUAGAGCACUGAAUGGGCUAGGGCAUACACCAAUGUACCAAACCCUAUCAAACUCCGAAUACCUUAUAUGUAAUCACAGCAGUCAGGCGGCGAGUGAUAAAAUCCGUCGUCAAGAGGGAAACAACCCAGACUACCAGCUAAGGUCCCUAAAUCUUACUUAAGUGGAAAACGAUGUGAAGUUACUUAAACAACCAGGAGGUUGGCUUAGAAGCAGCCAUCCUUUAAAGAAAGCGUAAUAGCUCACUGGUCUAGUGAUUUUGCGCGGAAAAUAUAACGGGGCUAAAGUAAGUACCGAAGCUGUAGACUUGCGCACAACUUAGAUUAUUUAAGUUUAGAAUAUGAGAAACUAAGUUAUAU